rnacentral:rRNA from 1 species
UACGUAGGGUGCAAGCGUUGUCCGGAAUCACUGGGCGUAAAGGGCGCGUAGGCGGCCUGAUAAGUAGGGGGUGAAAUCCUGCGGCUUAACCGCAGGGCUGCCUUCUAAACUGUCAGGCUAGAGCACGGUAGAGGCAGAUGGAAUUCCCGGUGUAGCGGUGGAAUGCGUAGAGAUCGGGAAGAACAUCAGUGGCGAAGGCGGUCUGCUGGGCCGUUGCUGACGCUGAGGCGCGACAGCGUGGGGAGCAAACAGG